UGCAUCGAUGAAGAACGCAGCCAGUUGCGAUAAGUAGUGUGAAUUGCAGAAUUCAGUGAAUCAUCGAAUCUUUGAACGCAAAUUGCGCUCUCUGGAUAUCCAGGGAGCAUGCCUGUCUGAGCGUCGGUUAAUAAUCUACACACUUCGGUGUGGGUAGGGAUCUCAAGUGGGGAACCUUGCGUUCUUGCUUGUGUCUCCAUAUUUCUGAACCUUGCGGUGUGUGUUCUAGCACUGCUUGGAAGGCUCAACUUGUUUCUGCCCUUCUGUUGCAGAGUUAGCUAGUCACACGGCUUGGCUCUCCUUUCAGUCGUUCUGACUGAAACGCUAUGCGUCUACAUUUUGACCUCAGAUCAGACAAGACUACCCGCUGAAUUUAAGCAUAUCAAUAAGCGGAGGA
rnacentral:rRNA from 1 species